GUGUCAGCCGCCGCGGUAAUACAGAGGUCCCAAGCGUUGUUCGGAUUCACUGGGCGUAAAGGGUGCGCAGGUGGUUUGGCAAGUUUGACGUGAAAGCCCCGGGCUUAACCCGGGAAUGGCGUUGAAAACUGCUUGAACUGGAGGGUUGGAGGGGGGACUGGAAUUCUUGGUGUAGCAGUGAAAUGCGUAGAUAUCAAGAGGAACACCAGUGGCGAAGGCGAGUCCCUGGACAAACCCUGACACUGAGGCACGAAAGCCAAGGGAGCAAACAGGAUUAGAUACCCCCGUAGUCC
rnacentral:rRNA from 1 species